UACCCGCUCGAACAUCUUAUGUGUCCGCACCUCAGAGACGUUCCUUCAUUAACAUCCGCUCACGAGCAACAAAAACGCUGCAAACAUGUCGGAGAAGAAACAGACCGUCGACCUGGGUUUACUGGAGGAGGAUGACGAGUUUGAAGAAUUCCCAGCCGAAGACUGGACGGGGCUGGAUGAAGAUGAGGAUGCUCAUGUUUGGGAGGACAACUGGGACGAUGACAACGUUGAAGACGAUUUCUCAAAUCAGUUGAGAGCAGAGCUGGAAAAACAUGGUUACAAAAUGGAGACGUCAUAGCUUUUCACUUGCUCCGAUGACGUUUGAUUUGGACAUUUAUAUUUGAAUACAAAUUGAGUGACUGCACAUCACCAGGACUCGUUUGUGGAUUCUGAUGUUUAUCUUCUUCUUUUCUAACAAUAUGGAUUAAAAAUAAAACAAUCUGUUGGAAAUGGUA